GCAAAAAGGGCUGGCAUGUACCCACCUGCAUUCUUAGUUGGAAUAUGAUCAUGAUUGAUGAUGGAUAUGGGAUGGCUUCUCUGACUAGUUAGUAACUCCAUACCAAGAUCGUUGUGCGAUGGGGCUAGAAUUGGUUCUACAUUUUGCCUCGAGAGUUCAAGCUUUAACAUCUCAGAAUCACCUCCAAAAACCAAGGACUGGCCAAACAAAUUUGUAGAUCUU
rnacentral:misc_RNA from 1 species